GACGAACGCUGGCGGCGUGCCUAACACAUGCAAGUCGAGCGGAGACAGUGAGUAGCUUGCUAUGAGCUGUUUUAGCGGCGGACGGGUGAGUAACGCGUGAGCAACCUUUCCCAGACAGGGGAAUAACACACCGAAAGGUGUACUAAUACCGCAUAAGACCACGGAAUCACAUGGUUCUGAGGUAAAAGAUUUAUCGGUUUGGGGUGGGCUCGCGUCCGAUUAGGUAGUUGGUGAGGUAACGGCCCACCAAGCCGACGAUCGGUAGCCGACCUGAGAGGGUGAUCGGCCACAUUGGGACUGAGACACGGCCCAAACUCCUACGGGAGGCAGCAGUGGGGAAUAUUGGGCAAUGGAGGAAACUCUGACCCAGCUACGCCGCGUGGAGGAAGAAGGUUUUCGGAUCGUAAACUCCUGUCCUUGGAGACGAGUAGAAGACGGUAUCCAAGGAGGAAGCCCCGGCUAACUACGUGCCAGCAGCCGCGGUAAUACGUAGGGGGCAAGCGUUGUCCGGAAUAAUUGGGCGUAAAGGGCGCGUAGGCGGCUCGGUAAGUCUGGAGUGAAAGUCCUGCUUUUAAGGUGGGAAUUGCUUUGGAUACUGUCGGGCUUGAGUGCAGGAGAGGUUAGUGGAAUUCCCAGUGUAGCGGUGAAAUGCGUAGAGAUUGGGAGGAACACCAGUGGCGAAGGCGACUAACUGGACUGUAACUGACGCUGAGGCGCGAAAGUGUGGGGAGCAAACAGGAUUAGAUACCCUGGUAGUCCACACUGUAAACGAU
rnacentral:rRNA from 1 species